rnacentral:lncRNA from 10 species
AGUUGCCCUCAGCCCUCACAGGCCCUGGGGUCGCCGCACCUGGGCCAGAGACCUAGGAUGCCGCGAGGCGCGGCAAGCGCUCCCUAGGGAAGCCGAAGACCUUGCCUGAGCGCACCACCCGAACCCCGGGCCCACAUUCCGCUCUCGCCCAGAGGCGCGGUUCUCACUCCCUAGCGCUCGUUAGUACCGGGAGCGCCUCAUCCCUUCCUCAGCUGGGCCCCAAGAGCCACUCUGGUAGGCCGUGCACGCCCCGCGCCUCACCUCGUGGGGAUACAGAAACGGAGGAGGGAACCCCAGCCGCGGACCGUAGCUGGCACUACCCGCUCCUGCCGCCGCUCCGCCUCACAUUCAAACCCCGGCAAAAUGGCGCGACAGCGAGCCUGAGGCCAGAGCGCAUGAGCGAGCGGCCCGCUGCAGGGGGCGGGGCCAGGAAUGCUCUGGCCCCACCCAAGUUCGAAGGGCCAAUCGGGGCCCCGCUCUGUUUCUGCGCUGAUCUCACAAGUGACAAUGCUCUUUGGCUCUGACCAUGCCAGCAGGCUUCACGGUUCUCGUUUUCCAAAGAGGAACACAGAUUCAGCGAGCGGCUGCUGGCUUCUGACCCAUUUUGAUGUCAGGGCUUGGCACGUAGGAGGUGUUCAAUGUUGAUCGAUCCAAGGUCGUGCACAUAGGGUCUAAGACGGAAGAGAACUUCCUGCCCCUCUUGGAGCUUCUAUUUUAGAGGGAGACACGGCCAGACAGGUCUCGAACUCCUGGCCUCAAGUGAUCCGCACACCUUGGCCUCCCAAAAUGCUGGGAUUCCAGGCGUGAGCCACCGCGCCUGGCCUGGAGCCAGGGCCCCAUAUUAUCUACCGCUGUCCAUCUGCUCUCCAGCACAUCAGAGCAGCCCUUCCCCUGUGUGAGAUUCCUCUCCAGGGCAAGACUUGAAGGGAGCAUCAAGGUUGCAGUGGAAGAAAUAAAUUGGAAGUGGAGCUGGGCAGUUAUUUAUUUAUUUAAAUAGAGACAAGGCCGAAUGCGAUGGCUCACACCCGUAAUCCCAGCACUUUAGGAGGCCGAGGUGGGUAGACGACCUGAGGUCAGGAGUUCAAGACCAGCCUGAUCAACAUGGCGAAAUCCCGUCUCUACUAAAACUACAAAAAUUACCUGGGCACGGUGACACGCACCUGUAGUCCCAGCUACUCAGGAGGCUGAGGCACAAGAAUUGCUUGAACCUGGGAGGCCAAAAUUGCAGUGAGCCAAGAUUGCACUACUGCACUCCAGCCUGGGCGACAGAGCCAGACUCCAUCUCAAAAAAUAUAUAUAUAUAAAUAAAAAAUAAAUAAAUAGAGACAAGUCUCACUGUGUUGCCCAGGCUGGUCUCGAACUCCUGGGCUGAAGCAAUCUGCCUGCCUUGGCCUCCCAGAGAGCUGGGGUUACAGGUGUGAGGCACGGUGCCAGGCUAGAUCUGGGCAAUGUUUAGGAGGCGGGCUCUAGAGCCAGGCUGCAGGGCUUCAAAUCCCUCUGAGUGUCCUAAGUCAAGUUUGUCAACCUCUCUGAGCCCGUACCCCUCUAUAAAAAGGAGGGAUGCUGGUGAUGAUGAUAAUAGUACCUACUUUACGGGGGUUAUUGUGCGAAUUAAUGGCUGAAGAAUGGUUGAAAUAGCAAGAGUCAAAAACAUGAUCAAUAUGGAAAGCCUAGCAGGAGAAAGUACUAAAGUUCAUUGAUGGGGAGAUGGGGAGGGGGACAGAUGGGGUCUCACCGUUUCCCAGGCUGGUCUCAAACUUCUGGCCUCAAGUGAUCCUCCUGCCUUAGCCUCCCAAAGUGUUGGGAUUAUAGGCAUGAGCCACUGUGCCCAGCCAUUAAAUUCUCCUUCUUUCCUCUUUUGGUGGAAGGGAAGGGAGAAGUGAGACUUUACCAGGAGUCCAUGGAAUGUGGCCCAAAGGCCAAGGACAGAGUACCUUCCAGGACUCUCUCAGAGGGCAGCAGGAGCCCAGGGCUGCUUUCUGCCUAUGACAGGUGUGCAGUAGAAGUGGGUCUUCAGAGGCUGGGCGCAGUGUCUCAGGCCUGUAAUCCUAGCACUUCGGGAGGCAGAGGCGGGCAAAUCACCUGAGGUCAGGAGUUUGAGACCAGCCUGGCCAACAUGGUGAAAGCCAGUCUCUACUAAAAAUACAAAAAUUAGCCAAGUAAUUUUUUUUUUUUUUUUUUUUUUUUGAGGAAUCUUGCUCUGUGGCCCAGGCUAGAGUGCAGUGGUGUGAUCUCAGCUCACUGCAACCUUGGCCUCCCAGGUUCAAGUGAUUCUUGUUCCUUAGCCUUCCAAGUAGCUGGGACUAUGGGACUACAGGUGUGUGUCACCAUGCCCAGCUAAUUUUUGUAUUUUUCGUAGAGACAGGGUUUUGCCACAUUGGCCAGGCUGGUCACAAACUCUUGACCUCUAGUGAUCUGCCCGCCUCAGCCUCCCAAAGUGCUGGGAUUACAGGUGUAAGCCACCACACCUGGCCCAUGCCUGAUAGUUUUGAUUCAUCAUGGAUAAUCUGUCAUUAAAAGAAAUUCAGGGCCAAGUCCAGUGGCUCAUGCCUGUAAAUUCCAGCACUUUAGGAGGCUGAGGUGGGAAGAUGACUUGGGCCUAGGAGUUUGAGACCAGCUGGGGCAACGUAGCAAGACCCUGUCUCUACAAUAAAAUUUAAAAAAAUUAGCUGGGCAUAGUGAGGUGUGCCUGUAGUCCCAGCUACUGGGGAGGCUGAGGCAGGAAGAUUGCUUGAGCCCAAGAAUUUGAGGCUGCAGUAAGCUAUGAUGGUGCCACUGCCACUGCACUCCAGCCUGGGAGCCACAGCAAGAUCCUGAAUCAAAAAGAAUUCAUCUGAGGGUUCACCAAGUUGCUGAUGAGUCUCUAGAAAGUACAAGGAGAAUCCUGGGUUUAGCCAUUGAGUCUCAGGAUGCAGGAAUCAAGAUCAUCACAAUACUGGAUAAACAAGGGGAACAACUCAACCACAUAGAAGACAUGGGCCACAAAAAUACAGACAUGAGAGAGGCAGAGAAGACUUUAACAGAACUUAACAAAUGCCAUGCCCUUCGUGUCUGUCCACAUAAUAGAACAAAGAACUUUGGAUGGCUUGGGCACGAGAAAUUGAGGCUGCAGUCAGCUGCAAUGAGGCCACUCACCCCAGCCUGGGUGACAAAGCAAGAUCACGUCUCUUAAAAAAAAAAAUUGGAAACAUUGACAAAGACAGCCAAGAAGAAGGAAGCUGUAGAAGUGUUUUUUGUUUGUGGUUUUUGUGGUGGAGGGAGGGACAAGAGAUAAGAGGUUAACCUCAGCAAAAACCUAGCUGGGCAUGGUGGCACGUGCCUGUAAUCCCAGCAUUUUGGGAGGCUGAGGUGGAAAGAUUGCUUUCUUUCCACCUGGGAUGUGGAAUCACACAUUCUAUGCACACCUAUGAAUCACUAAGACUUCAGAAGUUAAGCUCCCUUUAAGAAAACUCAUUCUUUUUGGAGCAGAGGUUGCAGAACUGUGAUCCCUAACAAAAAUACUGUGUAUAAAAGCUCCAAAACGAAGUAUUAGCUUAAAGUGGCAAUAACUACAACUUUAUAACCAACUAAAUCUUUACCGUGGCUAUGCAACUUUUUGCUUUGUGGCCAGAAGGUUUUUUUGGUUUUUGUUUUUUUGAGACAGGCUGUCACCCAGGCUGAAGUGCAGUGGCACAAACAAAGCUCACUGCAGCCUCGACCUCCUGGGCUCAAGCAGUCCUCCCCACCCCAGUCUCCUGGGUAGCUGGGACUACAGGCGUGUGCCACCACACUUGCUAUUAUUAUUUUGUAGAGAUAGGGUCUCACUACAUUCCCCAGAUUGGUCUCAAACUCCUGGCUUCUAGCAAUCCUCCCACCAUGCCAGACCCUAGACUUAAAAAGUUAGAAUUGGCUGGAUGUAGUGGCUUACACCUAUAAUCCCAAUACAUUGGGAGGCUGAGGUGGGAGGAUCACUUGAGCCCAGGAGCUGAAGACCAAUUUGGCCAACAUAGUGAGACCCCCAUCUCUAUUUUUAAAAAAAGUUAGAAUUUAUUGUGUUACUAAAAGUGAUUUGGAAAAUUAUACCUUUAGUUUAAUUAUUGGGGAAUUACACUGUCAGUCUCUUACCCUUGUGUAUAGAACUAUGUCCAGAAUCAAAUUUAUGUAGAUCCUAAACACUGUUAUGGGAAUCUGAUUAGUAUUUGUCACAUUGACUUAAAAAUUAGCAUCUCAGUUGGCGUGGUACUCACACCUGUAAUUUCAGCACUUUGGGAGGCCAAGGUGGGAGGAUCACUGAGGCCAGGAGUUCAAGACCAGCCUGGGCAACAUGGUGAAACCCCAACUCUACAAAAAAAUACAAAAAUUAGCCAGGCAAGGUGUCUCACUACUGGCCCUAUAGUUCCGGCUAAUCAGGAAGCUGAGGUGGGAGAAUUACUUGAACCAAGAAGGUUAAGGCUGCAGUGAGCUGUGAUUGCACCACUGCUCUCAGCCUGGGCUACAGGGCAAGACCCUGUCUCAAAAAUAAAUAAAUAAAUUAGCAUCUGAAUAUUUCAAAGCUGUCAAUGUGUACUGGCUGAACCAAUAGCCACUACUUGAUCCUUACAAUUACAUUUUGUAACUAGCAACAACAAAGUUAAUAGAUUCAAGAGGCAUAUAAAGAAUCUCAUGACUAGAAUUUUCCCCCUUUCAUUGGUGAGGGACAUAAACUGACCCAAAACUACGGCUUGAUAUAUGUUUUUUAAAUUACUACACAUUAGAAACAGCUAUACUUUUUAAAAUUUUAUUGAUGUACCACCUGAUCAAAGCAUGGGAUAUUUUAAUAGUAUUAUACAUAAUAUUUUUACAUAGAAAACUUUACAUAGCAUUUCAUAUUAUAUAAUUCUGCUUAUUCUUUCAAAAAUUUAUACAUCCAUUGGGCAAGGAAUGGUUUUCAUUAAAUUACCAAUAUUAAAUGCACUUAAUCAUUGUGUAUAGGUUAAACCAAAGUAACUAUUAACUAACUUUUAGGCAUUUUAAGGAGGUAAAACAUACAUUUUACACAUAAAUAUUUGAUGCAAAUAUGCAGAUAAAAUUUUUUAAAAAUUAGAACACUGAGUAAAACACCUUUGAUAGAUUAUAUUGUUUUGUUUUGAGAGCAAGGAUUUCCAGAUAUGUUCAUUCUUUAAAACACUCAGCUUUGGUUUCUUUGUUUCCCAAACUGCAAAGCUGCUGAUAACAAAACUCCAGGAUUCCAUGUGAGUUCAGCUAUGUCUACUUUAACACAAAUAUUAAAACAGAAUUCAGAAAAUGCAGUAUUAAGGAUCCAGCUUCUAUUGAAACCAAUAUCCAUUUGCAUCAUAACAACAAACAUUUGAAUGAGAUGGUCACACUUGUACUUAUCAGCAGGUUCCUUUAAUAACAAAGACUACUAAAUGUAUAUCCUUAAUCACAAAAGAACAACAAAAAAAAUACAGGUUUUUUUUUUUUCAUUUCGUACAAAAGUCACCUGCCAGAGGAAAAUGUUGUGUUUCCAGAUAUUAUAAUACAAUUUUCAUAAUGUAUGUUCUUUGGUUGUACAUGAGGAGUACAGGGAAAAGAUAUAUUUGACUCUAAAGAUGCGUAUCAGAAAUAAAAAUUACCCAUCCACUGUUUGUUGUUAAGAUGCCAAAGCUGGUGAUUUCCCUAACAGACAAUGAAGAGAAACAAAAUUGCUCAAAGCAGCAGUAUUGUAACAAAUAAAAACUUCUCUAGAGACCCAGCACAUAUAAUCAACACUUAAAGCAUUCUGAAAAAGAAAUAAGGCCUUGGAAAAUGUUUCACUCUCCUCCAUUACUUGGUUAAAUAAAUGGUGUCCUGGCCUGAUGUUGCGGUUGUACAUACCCUUUCACUAGUGUUUGAGUGGCACAAGCCACAUUUACCAUGAGAAAGAAGAGAUUUAUUCAUAAAAAUGAAUUUAGGCUGAAUGGCUUAUUAUUGGAGGUAAGGGAUUUCAAAUCUCUGUUCGUCACUGUCCACUGACAAGAAAAAUCACCCUGAAUGGUUUUACAUCCAAUUUUUUAAAAGUCCAUUGCUGGUACAAUUCAAAUGCCUCAUUCAGAAAAUUAAAUCUUUUAAAAUACUAAACUAAUAAGAAAUGUAAGCCUGAAUGUUUCAGCAAGUAAUAAAAUGCACUGACACAUCUGCUACCCCUCAAGAGGCAAAAUUAAAGAGAGGGCAGAAGACACCAGAAAAAUUUUAGUCACAUCCGAUGAAGAAAAUGACAUGAGAACCUCAGAAGGAAAGGAAAAAUAACCAAUCAGGGAUAUAGCUGCACGCAAGAUGGACUUAAUGAAUGAACACGUGUUCCCCAUGUAUACCUUUUGUACAAAUAUCAAUGGAGACGACUGACUUGUUGAGGUGAUGACGCGCUAUGAUACCAGGGAGUGUAGGUUUCAUGGUGCAGUGUAAAGGUGCAGUGGAUUCCAGGGCAAACCAGUCAAAUGUGCUAACAUUUUCCACUCACAGUAAAGUAUUCUCCCAUAGUCCCUUCCUGCUAAAUUAUACAGCUCCUUUUAUCUAAUGUAUAUAAGUCAUGUAAAAACCUAAACCUGCUCAUUUUUUCUUUGGUAGAGAAAUUAAAAAACACUUUUUGGGAAAGAAAAAAGUAGACAAGAAUUCUGCUGGCCAAAACCAAACAUUUCUCAAGGCUGUUAAAACAAGAAAACAACUUAAGAAUAUCGGUCUCUUAGUAAGCAAAAGCACCAGAAAUCCUUCUCUACAAAGAAAAAACAUCUGAUUUUACAGAUAGGUUCCCAAACUACUAACUUCUAAGGCACCAGAGUUGACAUCAAUACAACCCAAUUUACAGGACUAAAGAGCAUAGGUAGAAGUCUGAAAGUUUUAAUCAUUCUGUGUAACACUUUGUCUAACGCUCAGCGAUGCUCUAGGUGAGCAGUGGGUGAGGGCAGAGAAUGAGGCGUGUGUGCUCCUUCUCAUGGGUGAGCAUCCACGUAUACUGCUCACAGGCUUUGGGACGUACUUGUGUACUGCCCACUUUUACACAAGCUGCAGCAGAACUCAGUUCUACUGCAGGUGAGAGUAUUGCACCAUCAUUAACAUAAUAAGGACCUCAGAAUCCAACCUUGCCAAAGAAUUCAACUCCUAGGCUCAGAUUAAUGGAAGUGCUGGGCACAUGCCACCUCCUGCCAUUGUCACAGUUCAGCUGUGCUGGCCCCGACACAGCUCCAGUUCCACCCAUGACAUCUGGCUGAGGAGGCUUAUGGGAGCGGCUUCUCAUGCACAGUUACUGUCCCUCUCUGGAGGGUCCUUUAAUGGGGACUGUGCAAAGCAGUGACACUAACUGCCAGUACACUCACUUUUCUGAGGUGAAAAUAAAAAGGUUUAUUCAAGGAUAAAUGAACUCUGGUUAAAUUACUACUUCAUUUUCAUUACUACUUCAUAUAUUAGAUUUCAGAGUGUGUGAGAUGGACAGUGUAUUCUGGAAAUUUUAAUUUAACACCCAUCCACAAAUACUUAUUUCAAGGAAGGCUAAUCAUCUUCAUUAAAUUGUUCACUUUUUCGUGUAGACUUUUUCUCUCCAUGUUACUAAAACAGGGAGAUCCACGAGGCACAUUUUUUUAACCUCGCAAAACUCUUAAUUCUAACUUAAUUACUAAACUCUGCCUUCAACCAAAUUUUCAAUAUCUUUUUGUAAAAUACUUUAAAAAUCACUCAGACAUUAACAAAACACAAAAACAACUCUUCUCUAAUCCUGACCUGUCCUUAAACUAAUCUAAUUACGGCUGACUCGUAACUGACAAAAACAUUCAAAUUUCUCUAACACACUCAAACAACAGAAAACCCAGCAUAUUUUAGGUGGCAGUUAGCCGUUACAAGAAGUUUUAUUAACAUAUUCUCUAAUAAUCACAAACCUAUACAGCUAUGUUCAGUAUUUUCAAGGAGAGUGACUUCUUACAAAACGUUUAUAGCCAAUCAUGGGAUUUUGCUAGAAAACGAUGGCAUAUGCAAUGACAGAUUUGACAGUUUAAUCAGAAAAAUGGAAUGAUAGAAAUGAAGCAGACUCCCCACCUACUGUGCUAACUGGGUAUGCAACAGUUUAAUGAAAUACCAUAAGCCUUAGUUGGAGACUGUGAUGGAACAGCGUAGAGGCCAUCCGUUUCCAGGCCAUUCUGAGAUCCAAGAUGCCAACUCCUUGUUUCUAUGAAACUUCACGAGAUGUGCCAGUCAGAAAUGGCAUGCUGAACAUUCUGCAGAGCUGCAGCACUGGCCUGGGCAGCCAGGGCUACCACACUGGUGACAGUGCUGCUGGUACCUGUGAUGGCUCUUCUGGUAUCCAUAUCUUAUACACAACACCUAUCCGUAGGAAGAACUUCCGCAGAACUGCUCGGAGCUCAGGGAUCAGGUCAAACUGCAUAAUUUCACACAAGUAGGGGUAGUACAUUGAAGCAUGUGCUUUGAACUUGAGGUGGGAGAGAAACAGAUAAAAUUAGACAAUUUUUUUUUUUUUUGGGCACCAGUUUUUCAGAAGUGUUAAUCUCACCCUGGAACUUAUUACAAUAUUGGUGCUUUUCUUGCUAUUAGAAAGUUGGGGCCGAGCGCAGUGAUUCACGCCUAUAAUCCCAGCACUUGGGGAGGCCGAGGCAGGUGGAUCGCUUGAGCUCAGGAGAUCGAGACCAGCCUAGGCAACACGGUGAAACCCUGUCUCUACCAAAAAUACAAAAACUUAGCUGGGCAUAGUGGCGCGUGUCUGUGGUCCCAGCUACUCAGGAGGCUGAGGUGGGAGGAUCGCUUGAGCCUGGGAGGCAGAAAUUGCAGUGAGCUAGAUUACGUCACUGCAUUCCAGCCUGUGUGACAGACC